rnacentral:rRNA from 1 species
GACGAACGCUGGCGGCGUGCUUAACACAUGCAAGUCGAGCGGUAAGGCCCUUUCGGGGGUACACGAGCGGCGAACGGGUGAGUAACACGUGGGUGACCUGCCCUCAGCUCUGGGAUAAGCCCGGGAAGCUGGGUCUAAUACCGGAUAUGACUCCAUGACGCAUGUUGUGGGGUGGAAAGCCUUGUGCGGCUGAGGAUGGGCCCGCGGCCUAUCAGCUCGUUGGUGGGGUGANGGCCUACCAAGGCGACGACGGGUAGCCGGCCUGAGAGGGCGACCGGCCACACUGGGACUGAGACACGGCCCAGACUCCUACGGGAGGCAGCAGUGGGGAAUCUUGCGCAAUGGGCGAAAGCCUGACGCAGCGACGCCGCGUGAGGGAUGACGGCCUGG